CGUAGCCCCAGGAGCCGCAAGGGCUCCCGCAGCCGUAGCUCCUGCGGUAGGUGUACGCCGUCCCGUAGUUGCAGGGCGAGUAGCACACGUCGUCGCACUGGUUCUGGUAGUAGUAGGUCAUCUUGGUGCGGUGGAGGGCGCGAGCCUGAAACACAGCAACGGGAGAUAGGCUGAGGUCUGCCCCAGAGGCCGAGCUGCAGCUUGCUCAAUCUAGCAAACCCCACGUAAGCAUGGGAAAGAGGGAGAAGGGGGAACCAGGAAAUGACCUAACAUCUCAUUUCUAGGCUACACCUGGGCUGUUUUUCCUUAAUCUUGCCCAGGUCACUCCUUUGUAUGUUUCUCACUUUUUUCCCUCCCUAAUAAUAUUUCGUGUUUCUUUUCUUGCUGCUACUGCCUGGAAUUUAAAGUCCAUUUUAAGAGAGAAUUUUAGGAUAUUGGUAGGAUUAGAUUCCCAGUGAGGAUUUGACUGUUUCCUCCCGUAUCAGUAUCUGAGGUUUCUCUGAAGACCGUAAGUGACUAGACACUAGUUAGUGAAUAAAUACAGUCAGCUGUUGCUGUCAAGAGACGAUAUGAGAGAGGAAAUGCUGCUCUUGUGGAAGGCAGCAGUGCUCUGCUGACUGCAAACAGCAAGUUUGCUUGGAUCUGGGUCUGUGCCUUAAGUGCUAAUGGAACAUGUAAGAACUGUCAGAGCAGAUCAAAGAGCCCUGGAGGGUGUAGCCUGUGUGUCACAGUGCUGCAGCAACAGUCGGAAACCCGGGGGAAAACCGCUGCCUGGGCAAAAGGAGUCACGAGAACAGCCAGCUGCCUCUGCUGCCUGGGGCAGAGCCAUGGCAUGCUAUAAAAGCACGGGCUGCUGAGAAUCAUGUAUUUGCUUCUCCUGCCUUGUUGUCCUUGUUGAAGUGGGUAAGUUUGAACACCUUUUGAAAGAAAUCUAGUGAAUAAUGGAGAAAUUAUUUGAUGCUAUAUUUUUUUCACUUCCUUUUCACACCCUGGUGGUGGUGGGGGGGGCUAAGUUGCAGGUGCUGCAGAUCAAUGUAUUGCAAUUUGAUGAAGGUUGUUUAUACCUGACAUUAAUGAAAAUACAGGGAGGAAAGAAUAUAUUUGAAUGUCUGAAACUGUGUUAAUUACACAUCAAUCCCUCUUUUUUUCCUAAAUUUUUAGGAAAAAUUUUGCUCUACAGAAAUUCCCCAUUAAUUUCUUAGUGGGGAAUUAAGAAAUUAAGGGCCCCUGAGGGCCCUGGUACAGGUGGCACCAUUUGGUGUCUGAUUGCCAGUCAUGAUCCUUAGGUGCAGUUGGGGGACAGGCAGGAAAGUUCAAAAAGGCUGGUCAGGAAGGAGGGUUGGGGGAAGGCCUGGCAUUAAAAGUCAGGAUAUGCAAGCAGGCAUGCGUGGAGGGUUUUGGUCAGCAUGCCUGUCUUUGCUCACUGUCUCUUCCUUGCUCUCAGGAUUCAUUUGAGUUUUGCUU
rnacentral:lncRNA from 1 species